ensembl:snRNA U6 U6 spliceosomal RNA
GUACUUGCUUCAGCAGCACAUAUACUAAAUUGUAACUAUAUAGAGAAGAUUAGCAUGGCUCCUGUGCAAAGAUGACAUGCAAAGUUAUGAAGCAUUCAAUGUUUUU